rnacentral:miRNA from 1 species
GCCCCCCGGAUGAUGCACCAUCG